GAAGAUACCAGCUGGCUGCAACUGUUUAAUAAAAACACAGCACUGUGCAAACACGAAAGUGGACGUAUACGGUGUGACGCCUGCCCGGUGCCGGAAGGUUAAUUGAUGGGGUCAGCCGCAAGGCGAAGCUCUUGAUCGAAGCCCCGGUAAACGGCGGCCGUAACUAUAACGGUCCUAAGGUAGCGAAAUUCCUUGUCGGGUAAGUUCCGACCUGCACGAAUGGCGUAAUGAUGGCCAGGCUGUCUCCACCCGAGACUCAGUGAAAUUGAACUCGCUGUGAAGAUGCAGUGUACCCGCGGCAAGACGGAAAGACCCCGUGAACCUUUACUAUAGCUUGACACUGAACCUUGAGCCUUGAUGUGUAGGAUAGGUGGGAGGCUUUGAAGCGUGGACGCCAGUCUGCGUGGAGCCAACCUUGAAAUACCACCCUUUAAUGUUUGAUGUUCUAACGUGGACCCGUAAUCCGGGUUGCGGACAGUGUCUGGUGGGUAGUUUGACUGGGGCGGUCUCCUCCCAAAGCGUAACGGAGGAGCACGAAGGUUAGCUAAUCCUGGUCGGACAUCAGGAGGUUAGUGCAAAGGCAUAAGCUAGCUUGACUGCGAGAGUGACAGCUCGAGCAGGUGCGAAAGCAGGUCUUAGUGAUCCGGUGGUUCUGAAUGGAAGGGCCAUCGCUCAACGGAUAAAAGGUACUCCGGGGAUAACAGGCUGAUACCGCCCAAGAGUUCAUAUCGACGGCGGUGUUUGGCACCUCGAUGUCGGCUCAUCACAUCCUGGGGCUGAAGUAGGUCCCAAGGGUAUGGCUGUUCGCCAUUUAAAGUGGUACGCGAGCUGGGUUUAGAACGUCGUGAGACAGUUCGGUCCCUAUCUGCCGUGGGCGUUGGAAGAUUGAGAGGGGUUGCUCCUAGUACGAGAGGACCGGAGUGAACGCACCACUGGUGUACGGGUUGUGAUGCCAAUUGCAUUGCCCGGUAGCUAAGUGCGGAAGAGAUAACCGCUGAAAGCAUCUAAGCGGGAAACUUGCCUCGAGAUGAGUCUUCCCUGGGCACUAGAUGCCCCUGAAGGGCCGUUGAAGACGACGACGUAGAUAGGCUGGGUGUGUAAGCGUAGCGAUACGUUGAGCUAACCAGUACUAAUGACCCGAGAGGCUUAACCUUACAACACCGAAGGUGUUU
rnacentral:rRNA from 2 species